GAUGAACGCUGGCGGCGUGCCUAAUACAUGCAAGUCGAGCGAACAGAUGAGGAGCUUGCUCCUCUGACGUUAGCGGCGGACGGGUGAGUAACACGUGGAUAACCUACCUAUAAGACUGGGAUAACUUCGGGAAACCGGAGCUAAUACCGGAUAAUAUAUUGAACCGCAUGGUUCAAUAGUGAAAGACGGUUUUGCUGUCACUUAUAGAUGGAUCCGCGCCGCAUUAGCUAGUUGGUAAGGUAACGGCUUACCAAGGCGACGAUGCGUAGCCGACCUGAGAGGGUGAUCGGCCACACUGGAACUGAGACACGGUCCAGACUCCUACGGGAGGCAGCAGUAGGGAAUCUUCCGCAAUGGGCGAAAGCCUGACGGAGCAACGCCGCGUGAGUGAUGAAGGUCUUCGGAUCGUAAAACUCUGUUAUCAGGGAAGAACAAAUGUGUAAGUAACUAUGCACGUCUUGACGGUACCUAAUCAGAAAGCCACGGCUAACUACGUG
rnacentral:rRNA from 1 species